rnacentral:rRNA from 1 species
GACGAACGCUGGCGGCGUGCCUAAUACAUGCAAGUAGAACGCUGAAGGAGGAGCUUGCUUCUCUGGAUGAGUUGCGAACGGGUGAGUAACGCGUAGGUAACCUGCCUGGUAGCGGGGGAUAACUAUUGGAAACGAUAGCUAAUACCGCAUAAUAGUAGAUGUUGCAUGACAUUUGCUUAAAAGGUGCAAUUGCAUCACUACCAGAUGGACCUGCGUUGUAUUAGCUAGUUGGUGAGGUAACGGCUCACCAAGGCGACGAUACAUAGCCGACCUGAGAGGGUGAUCGGCCACACUGGGACUGAGACACGGCCCAGACUCCUACGGGAGGCAGCAGUAGGGAAUCUUCGGCAAUAGACGGAAGUCUGACCGAGCAACGCCGCGUGAGUGAAGAAGGUUUUCGGAUCGUAAAGCUCUGUUGUAAGAGAAGAACGAGUGUGAGAGUGGAAAGUUCACACUGUGACGGUAUCUUACCAGAAAGGGACGGCUAACUACGUG